rnacentral:tRNA from 1 species
GGUAAAAUGGNCGAGUAGGCAUUAGACUGUAAAUCUAAAGACAGAGGUNAAGUCCUCUUUUUNCCA